rnacentral:rRNA from 1 species
CCCUCCGAAGUUUCCCUCAGGAUAGCUGGUGCAUUUUGAUUUUAUAUAAAAUAAUCUUAUCUGGUAAAGCGAAUGAUUAGAGGCCUUAGGGUCGAAACGACCUUAACCUAUUCUCAAACUUUAAAUGGGUAAGAACCUCACCUUUCUUGAUAUGAAGGUUGUGGUUAUGAUAUAAUGUGCCCAGUGGGCCACUUUUGGUAAGCAGAACUGGCGCUGUGGGAUGAACCAAACGUUAUGUUACGGUGCCUAAAUUAACAACUCAUGCAGAUACCAUGAAAGGCGUUGGUUGCUUAAAACAGCAGGACGGUGGACAUGGAAGUCGUAAUCCGCUAAGGAGUGUGUAACAACUCACCUGCCGAAGCAACUAGCCCUUAAAAUGGAUGGCGCUUAAGUUGUAUACCUAUACAUUACCGCUAAAGUAGAUGAUUUUAUAAAUUGUAAAUUUAUUAAAUUUUGAAACUUUAGUGAGUAGGAGGGUACAAUGGUGUGCAUAGAAGUGUUUGGCGUAAGCCUGCAUGGAGCCGCCAUUGGUACAGAUCUUGGUGGUAGUAGCAAAUAAUCGAAUGAGACCUUGGAGGACUGAAGUGGAGAAGGGUUUCGUGUGAACAGUGGUUGAUCACGAGUUAGUCGGUCCUAAGUUCAAGGCGAAAGCCGAAAAUUUUCGAGUUUCAUA